rnacentral:lncRNA from 1 species
UGCAUAGAUCAACUAUUAUUGUUUUAAUCUUUGAAAAACAAAUUACAUAUCAGCCUUUUACGUCCAAAACAAAUCACAUGUUAACCUUCAACCACGCAUACAAACGAACGAAAGUAACAAAAUUAAUAUUGAAUAACCAAAGAGUGAUCUCUCGGUUCAAAGAACUCCUUAGAAAAAUUACUAAUAUUACCGAGUUAGACUUCACAUUGUUGCUACGCAAAUAGAAGAGAGGAGAGCGCCACACAAAAUUAGAGAGAAGAAC